rnacentral:rRNA from 1 species
UGGGGAAUAUUGCACAAUGGAGGGAACUCUGAUGCAGCGACGCCGCGUGAACGAAGAAGGCUUUCGAGUCGUAAAGUUCUUUUAUAUGGGAAGAUAAUGACGGUACCAUAAGAAAAAGCCCCGGCUAACUACGUGCCAGCAGCCGCGGUAAUACGUAGGGGGCUAGCGUUGUCCGGAAUCACUGGGCGUAAAGGGUUCGCAGGCGGAAAUGCAAGUCAGGUGUAAAAGGCAGUAGCUUAACUACUGUAAGCAUUUGAAACUGCAUAUCUUGAGAAGGGUAGAGGUAAGUGGAAUUUUUAGUGUAGCUGUGAAAUGCGUAGAUAUUAAAAAGAAUACCGGUUGCGAAGGCGGCUUACUGGGCUCAUUCUGACGCUGAGGAACGAAAGCGUGGGUAGCAAACAGG